rnacentral:misc_RNA from 1 species
AAUCGGGUGAAUCAAUAUGAAUCUUGAUUCACAGAUAUACCCACAAGCAUUUUGCUUCGUUUUCGGCCUAUACUUUGAAUCAAAAUAAGGUAUAAAGUUACUUUCAGAAAUUUCAAUUAUUUGAAAAGGAUGGAUUACAUUUUUUUUUUAUUAUUAUUAUCAAAAAGAAAGAAAAUUUAGGUUUUGACUAAUGACGAAUUGCUCUCGAAUCAAGCAAUCAACAGCAAAAUUGUUGGUAGAUUUCAGAUUUAUAGAGCUUGAGAACGAAGAGAAAAAAGAAAUUAGAGCGAUCUAAUUGUUGAAAUGGUGAAGCUUACUGACCUAAGAGCUAGCGAGAAUGGUGA